rnacentral:rRNA from 1 species
UACGUAGGCAGCAAGCGUUGUUCGGAGUUACUGGGCGUAAAGGGUGCGUAGGUGGCUCUAUAAGUAUGGUGUGAAAUCUCCCGGCUUAACUGGGAGGGUGCGCCGUAGACUGUGGGGCUAGAGUGUGGGAGAGGAAAGUGAAAUUCCUGGUGUAGCGGUGAAAUGCGUAGAUAUCAGGAGGAACACCGGUGGUGUAAACGCUUUCUGGACCAUAACUGACACUGAGGCACGAAAAGCGUGGGGUAGCAAAACAGG